rnacentral:rRNA from 1 species
UACGGAGGGUGCGAGGGUUAAUCGGAAUUACUGGGCGUAAAGCGUGCGUAGGCGGCUGUUUAAGUCAGAUGUGAAAGCCCCGGGCUUAACCUGGGAACUGCAUUUGAUACUGGGCAGCUAGAGUUUAGGAGAGGAGAGUGGAAUUUCCGGUGUAGCGGUGAAAUGCGUAGAGAUCGGAAGGAACACCAGUGGCGAAGGCGGCUCUCUGGCCUAAAACUGACGCUGAGGUACGAAAGCGUGGGUAGCAAACAGGAUUAGAUACCCUGGUAGUCCACGCCGUAAACGAUGUCAACUAGCCGUUGGGUUUAUUAAUGAACUUAGUGGUGCAGCUAACGCAUUAAGUUGACCGCCUGGGGAGUACGGCCGCAAGGUUAAA